rnacentral:rRNA from 1 species
UACGUAGGGGGCGAGCGUUGUCCGGAUUCAUUGGGCGUAAAGCGCUUUAAGGCGGUUCGCUAAGUCGGGUGUGAAACCUCCAGGCUCAACCUGGAGACGCCACUCGAUACUGGCGUGACUAGAGUUCGGUAGGGGACCACGGAAUUCCUGGUGUAGCGGUGAAAUGCGUAGAUAUCUGGAGGAACACCGGUGGCGAAGGCGGCAUCCUGGACCGGUAUUGACGCUGAGGCGCGAAAGCCAGGGGAGCAAACGGG